rnacentral:rRNA from 1 species
GUAGGGAAUAUUGCACAAUGGGGGAAACCCUGAUGCAGCGACGCCGCGUGAAGGAAGAAGUAUCUCGGUAUGUAAACUUCUAUCAGCAGGGAAGACAAUGACGGUACCUGACUAAGAAGCCCCGGCUAACUACGUGCCAGCAGCCGCGGUAAUACGUAGGGGGCAAGCGUUAUCCGGAUUUACUGGGUGUAAAGGGAGCGUAGACGGAUCUGCAAGUCUGGAGUGAAAGCCCGGGGCUCAACCCCGGGACUGCUUUGGAAACUGUGGAUCUAGAGUGCCGGAGAGGUAAGCGGAAUUCCUAGUGUAGCGGUGAAAUGCGUAGAUAUUAGGAGGAACACCAGUGGCGAAGGCGGCUUACUGGACGGUAACUGACGUUGAGGCUCGAAAGCGUGGGGAGCAAACAGGAUUAGAAACCCUUGUAGUCC